rnacentral:rRNA from 1 species
CAGUAGCCGCGGGAACACGUAAGGUGCGAGCGUUAAUCGGAAUUACUGGGCGUAAAGCGUGCGCAGGCGGUUGUGUAAGACAGGUGUGAAAUCCCCGGGCUUAACCUGGGAACUGCGCUUGUGACUGCACAGCUAGAGUAUGGCAGAGGGGGGUGGAAUUCCACGUGUAGCAGUGAAAUGCGUAGAGAUGUGGAGGAACACCGAUGGCGAAGGCAGCCCCCUGGGCCAAUACUGACGCUCAUGCACGAAAGCGUGGGGAGCGAACAGGAUUAGAUACCCCCGUAGUCCCUGUCUCUUAUAC